CUCUUUACCUUUCUUCUCUUGUCAUUAUCCGUUUUUCCUUUCGUUUUUUCUUUUUUCAUCUAUUAUUUUUUUCUUUUCUUUUUUUCUUUUUUUCAUAUUUUUCUGUCCUCUUUUUUUAUUUCUAUUUUCUCUUUUUUCUUUUUUCUUUAUCUUUUUUCUUUUUUUAGCUUUUUCUCUUUUUUCUUUUUUUGUUCAUUUUUUCUUUUCUCUUUUUCUCUUUUUUGUCAUUUUUUUCUUUUCUCUUUUUUCUCUUUUUGUUCAUUUUUUUCUUUUCUCUUUUUUCUUUUUUUUGUUCAUUUUUUUCUUUUCUCUUUUUUGUCUUUUUUGUUCAUUUUUUUUCUUUUCCUUUUUUCUCUUUUUCUUAUUUUUCUUUUCUUUUUUCUCUUAUUUCAUAUUUUUUGUGCUUAUUUUUUCUUUUCUUUUUUCAUCAUUGGUUUGCCUUCAGCCCUCCCCUCAGCCCUUCCCUCCGCUCUGCUCUUCACCCAUCCCCUCCCCUCCCCAUCCCUCUUUCUCCCUUACCCUCCCCUUUCCCCUUGCCUCUGCCUCCCAUUACCUUGCCUGCCCUUCACUUACCUUCUCCUCACUUCCUGCUUCUUGAUGCUAUGGGCUUUUGCUGCUACUCACGCCAAACCUCAGCACUUGCCUACUCUGCUUGCUGCUCUGCCAAGUUGCUCUCUACUCUGCUCACAGCUUCACGCCUACUGCCUGCCCUUCUCUGUCCCCUUCUCGUGCCCUUCAGGCUUUUCCUCCCCUUGCUGAGCAAGGCCAUGCCCGGUAGCUACCCUUGAACCUCCUCCGCCCUUUGCCUUCCUCCACAGAGAUGCUUGCUUCUGGCCAGCACUCCUGCCCGGUGCCUAGCCCACACACCUCAUCUCUUGGGGAGAUAGCAAGGUGGCCUGUAGCUACCCACACCUCCUCCCGGGCAUGGCUUCUCAGCUUUGCUUCAAGCCCAGAACCCAAAGGAGCUCCUCUUACCUUUUGGCCCACAUUCUUCUCCUCCCGCGCAGCUCCUGUGGCAAGCAGGGGCACAGCUCUGGCCAGAUUCCUCCAUUCCUGCAAGGUUGCUUUUUGUCAUUCUUUGCCCCUUUUGCUUUGCUCUCUUUUGCUGUGCUAUGCCUAGCUUUCCUACUUGCUUGCUCUGUAUUUACAUGCAUUGCUUUUUACUUGUUAUUCUCUUUUUUCCCCCUUCAUUAUUUUCCCUUCAACCCUCCCCCUUCCCUCACCCUACCUCCAAUUUUUUCCUUCCUACCCCUCUCCUCCCC
rnacentral:lncRNA from 7 species